AUGGAGGAGCUCUCUCCGGUAUGGAGGAGCUCUCUCCGGUAUGGAGGGUCUCCUCCGGUAUGGAGGGUCUCUCUCCGGUAUGGAGGAGCUCCUCCGGUAUGGAGGGUCUCCUCCGGUAAGGAGGGUCUCUCUCCGGUAAGGAGGGUCUCUCUCCGGUAUGGAGGGUCUCUCUCCGGUAUGGAGGGUCUCCUCCGGUAUGGAGGGUCUCUCUCCGGUAUGGAGGAGCUCCUCCGGUAUGGAGGGUCUCCUCCGGCAAGGAGGGUCUCUCUCCGGUAUGGAGGGUCUCCUCCGGUAUGGAGGAGCUCCUCCGGUAAGGAGGGUCUCUCUCCGGUAUGGAGGAGCUCCUCCGGUAUGGAGGAAGCAUCUCCACGUAGAGUGGUGCGAAGAAGCAAUGAAAAAUGAAGAUAUAAAAACAAACUACAAAACAACUAAAAUCACUAAAAGCUGACAGUAAUACCAGAGCUACUACAACAGGCUCCGCUAGGACGGCGCCAUUUUUCAACAAUUAAUAAUAAAAUAUAUACAAUAUGUGCUAAUAUUUGCUCUGUCUGUCUCUCUGUGUCUCUCUCUCUGUCUGUCUCUCUGUCUGUCUCUCUCUCUCUCUCUGUCUGUCAGCUGUACUCUGAUCCAAACAUCGUGGUCGCCAAGAUGAACGCCGUUGACAACGACAUCCCGCUGGGUUACGACGUCCACGGGUGAGUUCUACAGUUCCCAGGUCUGAGACAAUGCUAACAAUGCUACAUACAUAAGCUACGAUGCUAACGAUGCUACAUACAUAAGCUAUGAUGCUAACGAUGCUACAUACAUAAGCUAUGAUGCUAACUAUAACAUAGUGGAUCAGCAUUUGACAAAGGAGGACCCAGGGCUUCAAUAGGAGGUUUCUUGUGGCUUUAAUCAAACAUUUUCAGGCAGCACAGACAUAACACACACAUGCCACCAGGGGGCCUCUACGUAUACCUUUCCUGGCAGGUAACUUCCUGCCAGGUAACACACACUUGGAUUCCCAAGAGCUCCCUCUAGGGUAAUACCAAAUAUUAGCAAUCUCAGGAUAUUACAUCCCUCCCCUCUCAGGUCUGCAGCCAUCACUUAACUGAAAGUAAAAUUAAAUUACAUUAUACAUGUUCCUCACUUAAAUCUUAGUUCCUCAAAAUUAUAAUAACAUACAGUGUAUAUUUUUUCACUUUUAACUUAGCCUUUAAUUCCCUCUAAGAAUUUUAGUAACUGAAAUUAAUUAUCCAAUACAUUCUCCGUCUGUUAGCCAUACAUUUAUGGUCUAUAAUAGUCUGGAGGACGCCUCUCUCUAGUAGAGCGUCUCAAGUUUGGUGUUUGUGGUUCCUGCACUACAGGACUAGGCGCACUCUCCAGCUUAGGUAGACCACUCUCAGAGUUCUUCACAGGGGUUGUUGGACAGACAGAUACAGAGGACGGUACUUGCUCAGGCACCACAGUUGGUGGGUUAGUCACAACCUGGGGUGUACUGGGAUCCAGUUCAGGAAGUCUGCUUGGCUCCCUCCUCCUGAUCUGAUCAACAUGUCUCUUCAAAACCUGUCCAUUCUCAGUGAGAACGGUAUAUGACAGUAGACCUGUGCAGCUCUCAAUGGUUCCAGGGAUCCAUUAAAAACUAGAUUUCCUGGAUUAAAACAUCUGAGUUUGAUAGUCUUAUCA
rnacentral:lncRNA from 15 species